ACAAAAACCGAUACUUACGACCCUCUGGCUAUGUACUAUGGCAACAGGAAAGGGGCAGGGAACCCAAAAUUUGUCCCACACAGAAGCGUACGAUGAUGGGCCGUGAACUAUAGAUGGCCAUGUUCAGUUUACAUUGGUGAAAUGAGAAUUUUUUUACUUUUAUAUUACUGGAGAUCACAGAAAAAAUGAGAUCUUUGUCAGGCUGAUGAUUGUUCCCACCAUUAACAUUUGUUUCGAAUUUCAUUAAUUACAGUACAGGGCAGGCAACAAAUGAGUAGUGUGAAUGGUAUUUAUAAAAAAACCAUGUAGGUAGCCUAUACAGCAUUCCAGAUUAUUUUUCACACGUCUUAGAAUUAUCAAACAGUAUGUAGUGCUUCCAGUUGCCCUCUAAUAUCAUUAUAGCUCCGCCUGCCCAUCAGCAUAACUCCAAGGACCAAGAUUCAAACAUCGGACUGGGGUGGUGCCAAUUAGUAAAUAAAAGUGUUUGGAAUUUAGUAAGUUUCGAAUAUUUGCUAGAUAGACGCCCAAUGCAACAAUGAGGUCUGUAACAAAAGGCUUUUUUUUUAUUGAGUGUAAAAUUCUUGAUUGAUAAUAUCGUUGAAAUGUCACAUUUUCAAUUUAACAGUAAUUAUGAAUUAAAAUUGAAUCACAGACGUCCCCCAAUUGUUUUUAAUCCGGAUGCGAACGUCGAAGAAACGCUGUACUUAAAAUUCCAUGAUGCAACUGAAAUCAUUUUGGGGCCGCUCGCGAUGGAAGAAUGGAUUCGAUUCUCAGUCUGUUUUUGGCAUUCUUUCAGAGAAACAGGAGCUGAUCCGUUAAGCCAAGCAACUGUUAGGCGAAAUCGGGAUGACGGCACAGAAACGAUAGAAACUAAGCUUCCCCAUCCUUCAAAAGCGGCAUUAAUGGGGCCAUCUUCAACUACUUCUUUCUUCGUAAGGAACGAAAUUGACGUUAGUGCCCAAAAACAGAGUUGUUGCGAGCUAUUGGC
rnacentral:lncRNA from 1 species